GAUCAUGGCUCAGGAUGAACGCUAGCUACAGGCUUAACACAUGCAAGUCGAGGGGCAUCGGGAAGAAAGCUUGCUUUCUUUGCCGGCGACCGGCGCACGGGUGAGUAACACGUAUCCAACCUGCCCUUUACUCGGGAUAGCCUUUCGAAAGAAAGAUUAAUACCCGAUGGCAUAAUGAUUCCGCAUGGUUUCAUUAUUUAAAGGAUUCCGGUAAGGAUGGGAUGCGUUCCAUUAGGUUGUUGGUGAGGUUAACGGG
rnacentral:rRNA from 1 species